GGAGAGGCCCUCGUCCAGACGGAGCUGUACCUGCCUUGGGCGGCCAUGACGACGUCAGGGCCCAAGCAGAAGCAGCAGCAGGACUCCUCCACGGCUUUCGCGUCGAGCUCGCCAGCCAUUAAAUGGAAGUGAUGGCCGGCCUACAAAGAUCCUGCUAGUGUGUGGUCGCCGGCACGGCAAGGACAGGCCACGCGCUUCAGCUGCUGCAGCUGGGCGUCUGCGGCUCGCCAAGAUCGAUCCCGACCACCACGACACCCACCAACCUGAAGGUCCUCUCUUUCCCCCCCUCUUCCUGCCGUGCUAUAGCCUAGGUUGUUUCCCCAGGAUUGAUUUACUCGUAGGCUCAGUAGCUUGCCUGGAUCUAUCUAUCUAGCAUGCCGUUACUUCUACUUCUGUGUUAUGCUACCCCAUUACUGAAUCUCGAUGAAGAUGGCAACAUGUUUGUGUGCAUGACCAUAUGACACACGAGGAUAUAGCUGUACAUUUUCAGUUGAAAUUGUACUGAAAAAUCGUGUAGCCAUGUUUCAGGCUGUAAAGGGCAUGCAAUACUUUAUCAGUUGACGGCUUUACAAUCUUGCUAAGGCGGCUUUAUGCUAAUUGUUGUUGCUGUAGCAGCAGCUAGGUUGAUAUCCUCGUGUCGUGGAUAAAAUAUGCACUCUUUUGUCUUUGUUUGUUUAUUACAUGAAUUGUAUAAACAAAUAAUCCAGGAGUACCUGGAUGUUUUUAGGUUGAUGACAUGCUAUUUAAAUCUGUGCUAUUUCCUAGUGUAGCUUCUCUCUCUCUCUCUCUUGCCUUCCAUUGUUAAUUUGCCUACAAUUAUGCUUGUUAUACAACUCAUCAUAGAUAUAUUGUCGUUGUAAAUACUAGCACACUUUGCUUUUCAUUUGCAGAUGCUUGCCCACCGCGUCCACCUAGGCCCAAAAUCCAGGACCUCGCCGUUACGCCGCGCCGGCCUCCCUGAGUUCCUGUUGCUCGGAAAUGUGCUGCCGGUGCCUUCCCUGACCUGCUGUUGCUGGCCACCAUGACGCCGCACCAUCCGUCCAAUGAGUUCACCAGCUGCCGAUGUCGCCAUAGGGGAGGACCUGCAGCUUGACCUGGGGCUGCCUCAAGCACCAGGAGGGACACUCAACUAUCGUCGCAUUGAGAGGAUGACUAGAUGACACAACCAGGGGAAGCUAGUUGGAGGGGAUGCGGCUCACCACGACGACGAUCAUGGCGUAGCAGGGUGAGCUCUCCUCCUCUGGUUUGCAAGUCCCCGCCCUCUCCUGGGCGUGUUGGCCUCACUGCUCCACCGACCACAAGCUCCUCCCCUUUCCAAAAAAGGAUAGCCAGGAAGAGGACAUCCAGGUUAGCAGAGAAGCUGGUACACAUGUAGCAGCAGCAGCCUGCUGCAUCAUUGUCACCUCUUGGAAGCUGGAAGAAGAAAACCCAUCUGUAUGCAUGAUGCAGCCUUGGUCGCGCCUGCCGGCUGAGAUAUCAGAUCCGGCGGAAUUUUUGUAAUUCAUGUUGUGUUGUUAUUGGUUAACCAUCAGAGUUUGUCCCAGAACUGAAACUUAUUUGAUGCCGUCCAUGGAUCUGCUGGAUUUGCCUUUGA